rnacentral:lncRNA from 1 species
UAACUCAUGGUGAUGAGUAGUCUUGUACCGUGGGUUUUGAGGCUAUUUAAGGGAUCAGCUCACAUGAGGUGAGAGGCCUUACUGGCGGCCGAUGUUGAUAGGUUGCAGGCAAACGGUUAGAGUGAUGUUGUUAGGGAUACUCGUAGCGGAGUGUUUUAUGAGUAACGUUGGGUCAUAGUAAGUGUGUCUCACUCGAGGCCGUUAUCCCCUUGAGGGAUGGGGUAUUUAUAGGUAUUCCUGAUUCCUAAGUCCUUCUUGGAAAAAG